GAUUUUGGAGGAUUUGAGAAAUGGUGAACAUUUGCGAAAACAACUCCGUACUGGUACUAGGAUGUUUAAAAAUGGCGACGAGGAUAAUAUUGAGACCAUUGAUAGAAUGAUAGCUGCUGGUGAAGUAACCUACAAUAAGUGGCAGCAUCCUGAUCCUUACAUUGUUCCCUGGGCUCCUGGUGGCUCCAAGUUUUGCCGUAACCCAACUCCACCUGAGGGG